UUAUUGAGUACGUCUAUAAAUGAAUAAAUGAUAAUUAAUCAUUUUGUUGUAAUAAGUGCACAGCACCCUUAUACGAUGAUAAUGAUUACGUAGAAUAACUUGGACGUUUCCAUGACGUUAAGAAAUUGGACUGAAAAUUUUUGCGAAAAUGUCUUCGAUUUCUCGUAAAUAUAAACGGCUAUUCAAUAUCUACUUCAGUAAUGAAUGAAACAAAAUUUCUCGCGGUUUAUCCAGAUGUUCGAAGUAAAAUGGAAAUUGCUUUGAAUGAUUUAAUUAUUCUCAUUUUGGUAUUAGUUAUAAAACAAAUAUUCAAUUUGGUGCAGAUGCUGGUGUUUUACUCGUCCAUGAUGAGUAUGAUGAAAUACGUUCGAGGAAUGUUUGUUUUGGUCACUGUUAUUAUUGAGAUAAUUUUCGUUUCUUCUUUAAGCAUAGGAUUCUCAUUACCAGGAUUAUUUUUAACGGUCAUUUCAUUUAUGGAAGUCAUGACGUCUCUUGUAUUUGUGCCUUUUGAUUAUCGUUGGUAGCGAUAAAUUGAUGCUUUGAGAAUUUAAGGAAUCUGGAAGUAUUUUUACUCCAAAAUACAUGAACUGAAAGGUAUGAGAUAACGCCUACAUGUAUACCUUUACCUAUUGCCUACACAUAAUCUUAUGAAUACGUAUACCAAGGAAUGAAUUUUAUUAAUUAUUAGGUUAUUUUAUUUUAUUUUUAAUUUGAAUUCCUGCUACAACAUAAGUGCAUUAUGGUAUGAUAAAAUAAUACAUUUCUACGGAUAGAUGUGUACUGUGUAGGUUUAGAUAGGUACCUAUAGAGUUACAUAGCGUGUAGAUGUACUCGUACCUCUACCUAUAUGUGCUUUUGAUUCUGUGUUACCUACGUAUGUGUGUUUUUUAAAAACAGAGUUCUAGAUCUACUGCAGGUGAGAUAAAUACAAUACGAGUUAGUACAUAUUUUUAUUUGUUACCUCGUGUAAGGUAUUUUUAAAUCCUUGCGCACAAGAACGAUUAUUUUCAUUUUGUUUUUUAAAAAAACUAGUCGUAUGUUACUUUGAUUUCAUUUUUCAAACUGUAUCAUGUAAAAUGUUAGGUAUAGAACAGUGAUAUUGUUCUCAUUAAAAUUUAUCUAAUUACCUGAUACCUACACUUACUUAUAAAGUAUGAGAAUGAAAUACGCAGGUUUUCUUUUAGUGAAUUUUUCGCAGGAAAGAAGACGACCGUAGUCCGUAAUGUUCUUGUUAUAUUCUCCUAAUGAUUAUAUCUGUGAAAUGUGAUCACAACGAGCAUAGAGUAUGAUCAGGGCUGUGAGGUAAUUUAUGUUGGUAAAUUACGGCGGUAUUUUACCGUAUUUUACGGUAUUUUACCAAAAGUUUAUUACCGUAUUUUACCGUAAUUUACCAAAAAGCUAAAUUAACACUUUUUUUCCAUCUUUCCUUCAUAAAUUUCCAAAUUUCCAUGGAAUUUUAUGAUUUGAAAGUUACCAAAAAUUUUCCCCAUAAAUUUCCAAAAAAUCGGGGAUUGUGGAGCGGUCCGGGAGCAGGAGCCGAAGCAAGAGGUACUUGAAAUUUUUCUACUGGAGGCGGAGGUACUUACAAAAAAACCCCAGAGCCGGAGCUGGAGCCGGAGGUAUUUUUUUUUCAAAUAACCGGAGGGGAAGGCUCUAACCCCCCCUCCUCGACCUCCGGAGGCGGAGCUGGAGGGCAGGAGCCCCCCGGAGGGUACCCUUUUUUGGGCCUUGCUCCGGGAGCCGGAGCAGGAGGUUCUUGAAAUUUUUCAAGUGGAGCCGGAGGUGGAGAUGGAGGUACUCAUAAAAAAUCUCCGGAACCAGAGGUAUUUUUUUUUUCAAAUUUGGAAGCCGGAGCUGGAGAUGGAGGCACUGA